rnacentral:rRNA from 1 species
AGCGAACGCUGGCGGCAGGCCUAACACAUGCAAGUCGAACGAACCCUUCGGGGUUAGUGGCGGACGGGUGAGUAACACGUGGGAACGUGCCUUUAGGUUCGGAAUAACUCAGGGAAACUUGUGCUAAUACCGAAUGUGCCCUUCGGGAGAAAGAUUUAUCGCCUUUAGAGCGGCCCGCGUCUGAUUAGCUAGUUGGUGAGGUAAUGGCUCACCAAGGCUACGAUCAGUAGCUGGUCUGAGAGGAUGAUCAGCCACAUUGGGACUGAGACACGGCCCAAACUCCUACGGGAGGCAGCAGUGGGGAAUCUUGCGCAAUGGGCGAAAGCCUGACGCAGCCAUGCCGCGUGAAUGAUGAAGGUCUUAGGAUUGUAAAAUUCUUUCACCGGGGACGAUAAUGACGGUACCCGGAGAAGAAGCCCCGGCUAACUUCGUGCCAGCCGCCGCGGUAACAC